rnacentral:rRNA from 1 species
AUGAGUCUCCUGUGUUGGAAUUGUCGUGGAGCUGGCAAACCCGCGACAGUUCGAGAGCUUCGUGAUCUCAUGAGGCAGUUUGCCCCCUCUGUGUUAUGUAUCCUGGAAACCCAAAUAGAGGGAAGGAGAGUUGAAAACUUGGUUGGUUCUUUAGAAUUUAAUAAGUGUUUCGUUGUAAGCAGUUCAGGUAGAAGUGGUGAUCUAGGAAUUUUUUGGAAUGAAGAAAAAAAUCUUGAGAUUGUUGGUUACUCUCAGUAUCACAUUGAUGCAAUAAUUGAUGACCUUGUUGAUGUCAAAACAAGGGUCACUUUUGUCUACGAAAAAGCCCAGGUUAACGGGCGAUACAAGACCUGGGACAUGCUUAGGGGAAUCGUUGGAACAAAUGAUAUACCUUGGCUAGUCUUAGGAGAUUUUAAUGAGGUGUUGCAUGCACACCAACACGAUGGAAUUGGCAACAAGAGCCAUGCGCACAUGGACGCCUUCAGGGACGCUUUGGAUACAUGUGGCCUAGCUGAUAUAGGCUAUGUUGGAAACGUCUGGACCUUUGAAAAGAAAGUGGCAUGA